CCCUUAGAUGUUCUGGGCUGCACGCGCGCUACACUGAUGCGUUCAACGAGUUUUUAGCUUAUCUGAUAAGAUUGGCUAAUCUUCUGAAAACGCAUCGUGAUGGGGAUAGAUUAUUGUAAUUAUUAAUCUUCAACGAGGAAUUCCUAGUAGGUGUGAAUCAUCAGUUCACGCCGAUUACGUCCCUGCCCUUUGUACACACCGCCCGUCGUUCCUACCGAUUGAGUGAUCCGGUGAAUAAUUCGGACCGGUGAGCUUCCAGGUUUACCUGGCUGCUUGCUGGAAAGUCUAGUGAACCUUAUCACUUAGAGGAAGGAGAAGUCGUAACA
rnacentral:rRNA from 1 species